rnacentral:rRNA from 1 species
ACUCCUACGGGAGGCAGCAGUGGGGAAUAUUGCACAAUGGGGAACCGUACAUGCAGCGACGCCGCGUGAACGAAGAAGGUAUUCGUAUCGUAAAGUUCUGUCCUAUGGGAAGAUAAUGACAGUACCAUAGAAGAAAGCUCCGGCUAAAUACGUGCCAGCAGCCGCGGUAAUACGUAUGGAGCGAGCGUUGUCCGGAAUUAUUGGGCGUAAAGGGUACGCAGGCGGUUUAAUAAGUCGAAUGUUAAAGAUC